rnacentral:rRNA from 1 species
GGUUGAUCUUGCCAGUAGUCAUAUGCUUGUCUCAAAGAUUAAGCCAUGCAAGUCUAAGUACGACUCUCGUAUAGUGAAUCUGCGAAUGGCUCAUUACAUCGGUCAUAAUUUGCUGGACGAGUCGAUCCUACUUGGAUAACUCUACCAAAGUAGAGCUAAUACAUGCAACAGGCCGUCUCUUUGCGGAGACGGUGCUUUUAUUAGAUCAAACGCCGAUGGCACUCGUGUCUCAAGCGGCGAGUCGUGAUAACUCUAGCAUAUCGCACGGUUAUAUACCGGCGAAGCGUCCUUCAAGUGACUGCCUUAUCAGCUGUCGAUGGUAGUGUAUUGGACUACCAUCGCAUUAACGGGUGACGGAGAAUCAGGGUUCGAUUCCGGAGAGGGAGCCUGCGAAACGGCUGCCACAUCUACGGAAGGCAGCAGGCACGCAAAUUACCCAAUCCCGACUCGGGGAGGUAGUGACGAAAAAUAACGAUACGUGGUACUCACUCGAGAACCCGUAAUUGGAAUGAGUACAAUUUAAAUCCUUUAACGAGGAUCUAUUGGAGGGCAAGUCUGGUGCCAGCAGCCGCGGUAAUUCCAGCUCCAAUAGCGUAUAUUAAAGUUGUUGCAGUUAAAAAGCUCGUAGUUGGAUCUUGGAUNCGGGUACCGCGGUCCGAGCAGCGUCUCUGCACUGCGGUCGCCCUGUCUAUAUGUCUGGAGGCCCGUCGGUGUCCUUCACUGGGCGCUGUCGGGUGCUGGAGCGUUUACUUUGAAAAAAUUAGAGUGUUCAAAGCAGACACGUCCGUCCGUAUAAUUCUGCAUGGAAUAAUGGAAUAAGAGUUGGACUUAUUUUUGUUGGUGUCCGAAGUCUAACUAAUGAUUAACAGGGACGGACGGGGGCAUCGGUACCCCGUAGGGAGAGGUGAAAUUCUUUGAUCUACGGGAGACCAACUACUGCGAAAGCAUUUGCCAAGAAUGUUUUCAUUAAUCAGGAACGAAAGUCGGAGGUUCGAAGGCGAUCAGAUACCGCCCUAGUUCCGACCAUAAACGAUGCCAACCAGCGAUCUGCCGACGUUAAUCAUAAGACUCGGUAGGAAGCUUCCGGGAAACCAAAGUGUUUGGGUUCCGGGGAAAGUAUGGUUGCAANANNGAAAUUUAAANGAAUUGACGGAAGGGCACCACCAGGAGUGGAGCCUGCGGCUUAAUUUGACUCAACACGGGAAACCUCACCAGGCCCAGACACGGGAAGGAUUGACAGAUUGAGAGCUCUUUCUUGAUUUCGUGGGUGGUGGUGCAUGGCCGUUCUUAGUUGGUGGAGCGAUUUGUCUGGUUAAUUCCGAUAACGAACGAGACUCAGUCCUACUAUUUAGA